UACGGGGGGUGCGAGCGUUGUCCGGAAUCAUUGGGCGUAAAGAGCGCGUAGGCGGCCCUGUAAGUCCGCUGUGAAAGUCAAGGGCUCAACCCUUGAAUGCCGGUGGAUACUGCAGGGCUAGAGUCCGGAAGAGGCGAGUGGAAUUCCUGGUGUAGCGGUGAAAUGCGCAGAUAUCAGGAGGAACACCGAUGGCGAAGGCAGCUCGCUGGGACGGUACUGACGCUGAGGCGCGAAAGCGUGGGGAGCAAACAGG
rnacentral:rRNA from 1 species